UGAGGAAUAUUGGACAAUGGAUGGAAAUCUGAUCCAGCCAUGCCGCGUGCAGGAAGACGGCCCUAUGGGUUGUAAACUGCUUUUGUAUGGGAGCAAUAAGGACUACGUGUAGUUUGAUGAGAGUACCAUACGAAUAAGCAUCGGCUAACUCCGUGCCAGCAGCCGCGGUAAUACGGAGGAUGCGAGCGUUAUCCGGAUUUAAUGGGUUUAAAGGGUGCGUAGGCGGCGAUAUAAGUCAGUGGUGAAAUAUUUCGGCUUAACCGAGAGACUGCCAUUGAUACUGUGUUGCUAGAAUAUGGUUGCUGUGAGUGGAAUGUGUGGUGUAGCGGUGAAAUGCUUAGAUAUCACACAGAAUAUCGAUUGCGAAGGCAGCUCACAAAGCCAUUAUUGACGCUGAGGCACGAAAGUGUGGGGAUCAAACA
rnacentral:rRNA from 1 species